rnacentral:rRNA from 1 species
AUUGAACGCUGGCGGCAGGCUUAACACAUGCAAGUCGAGCGGGGGAAGGUAGCUUGCUACCGGACCUAGCGGCGGACGGGUGAGUAAUGCUUAGGAAUCUGCCUAUUAGUGGGGGACAACAUCUCGAAAGGGAUGCUAAUACCGCAUACGUCCUACGAGAGAAAGCAGGGGAUCACUUGUGACCUUGCGCUAAUAGAUGAGCCUAAGUCGGAUUAGCUAGUUGGUGGGGUAAAGGCCUACCAAGGCGACGAUCUGUAGCGGGUCUGAGAGGAUGAUCCGCCACACUGGGACUGAGACACGGCCCAGACUCCUACGGGAGGCAGCAGUGGGGAAUAUUGGACAAUGGGGGAAACCCUGAUCCAGCCAUGCCGCGUGUGUGAAGAAGGCCUUAUGGUUGUAAAGCACUUUAAGCGAGGAGGAGGCUACUGAGACUAAUACUCUUGGAUAGUGGACGUUACUCGCAGAAUAAGCACCGGCUAACUCUGUGCCAGCCGCCGCAGUAA